GUCCACGCCGUAAACGAUGUGUGCUGGAUGUUGGGCAGUCUGACUGUUCAGUGUCGUAGCUAACGCGAUAAGCACACCGCCUGGGGAGUACGGCCGCAAGGUUGAAACUCAAAGGAAUUGACGGGGGCCCGCACAAGCGGUGGAGCAUGUGGUUUAAUUCGACGCAACGCGCAGAACCUUACCAGGACUUGACAUGGAAGUGCCGCGUACAGAGAUGUACGUUUCCGCGAGGACACUUUGCACAGGUGCUGCAUGGCUGUCGU
rnacentral:rRNA from 1 species